GGGCCGGUGGUCUAGAGGCCGAUGAUCCGAUGCUUACAACAUCGGGGUCGACGGUUCGAAUCCGUCCCGGCCCA
rfam:Euryarchaeota archaeon RBG_16_68_12 RBG_16_scaffold_8317, whole genome shotgun sequence.